GGUACAUGUCGAAACAAAUGCUUUGUAUUUCAUUGGUUUAACAGCCUCAUUUCACUGCUUACAGCGCUACCACUGGCCAAUCGGAGAAGGUCCGCCCUCUAAAUGCUAGUCUGUGAUUGGGUGGUUGAAUUUCGCCCGCCCUCUCUGUUUUGUAAACACCGCUACCUGAGUCAAUCACUCAGCUCUCAUGAUCAGGAACGCGGUGAAAAUGCCAAAAAGUAAACUUUUGAGGCAGCGAUGAACGGACCUAAAUAUGAAAAGACACAACAUUUAAUGCUACCACUGGUUGAAAGGAGUAUUUCUGCUUCAUUGAUCACAAUAAAGGUUUCACCAUUGAGGCCCAACCGGGCCACUCAAGGAAUGGCUUUAGUUUCAUGUCUAGCAAGGAUCGAGCAAGUUUUUUAUCCAAAAUCUCUCUGUAAUGUAAACCAUUUGUUAUUUAUUGUUUCAUCCAUCCAGUCCAGAUUGUCAGUCCCUACUGCUAAAAUGAUCCCCAUAAUCUGGAUCAUGAUGGCUCAGCAGGUUGGUACAUGUCCAUAGAUUUUUUUUUUCUGGCUACUUUGGUUUCCUCCCAAAUUGCUUAAGCAUGCCAGUUGGUGCCCUGUUAAUGGUUUGUAUCCAUAAUACAAUAGCACAUUCCCUCCCGUAGCCUUCGCUCUUCUGAGGCUAACCUACUGUCCAUACCCUCUAGGACCAAGCACCGGACCUGGGGUGACAGGGCCUUUUCCAUAGCUGCUCCAUCUUUAUGGAAUGCUCUCCCCAAACACCUACGAGAUUGUCCUGACCUGUCCAAAUUCAAGUCACUUCUCAAAACUCAUCUAUUCAAUAUGGCAUUUAACUUGUAACAACACGAAAUAAAUGCUUUUAUUUUUGCUAUUCUUUUUAAUAGUUUUUAUACUUAGAUCACGACAGAAAUGUGAAGUCCUAGAUCCUAAAACUUGUAAAGUUUUCAGUUUCCUGAUUGCAUGUAAAUCUGUCCUGUUUCUGUCUAAUUUUAAGAAAUUGUUCUAUAUUUGUUGUUCUCUCUCAUAAUUUAGCUAAUUUUUAAUGAACUGUCUUAUGCUGCUCUCUUUGUUUUUAUCUUAAUUAUUCUUGAUGUUGAUGUACUAUUUUGAUUUUGUACUAUGAUUUGUAUGGUGUAUG